rnacentral:rRNA from 1 species
CUGCCCUAUGAUUAUUAAGUUAAAUGGCUGCAGUAUUUUGACUGUGCAAAGGUAGCAUAGUAAUUAGUUUCUUAAUUAGGGACUUGUAUGAAUGGAUUAAUGAGAAAUUUAUUUUAUUAUAAUUAUUUUUAAAAUUUAAUUUUUGAGUUAAAAUGCUCAAUUAUAUUAUUGGGACGAUAAGACCCUGUAGAACUUUAAAUAAGUAUAUAUUUUUUUUAUAUUUUAGAUUUUAUUAUUAUAUUAUUUACUUUUUUUUUACUGGGGUGGUAAAUAAAAACUUAACUUUAUUUAAUUUAAUCAUUAAUUUAUGUUUAUAUUUGAUCCAUUUAUGAAUGAUUAUAAGAUUAAGUUACCUCAGGGAUAACAGCGUAAUUUUAAUGGAAAGUUCUUAUUUAUAUUAAAGUUUGCGACCUCGAUGUUGAAUUAAGAUUAAAUUAAGGGGUAGGUUCUUUAAUAUUGGGUCUGUUCGACCUUUAAAUUCUUACAUGAUCUG